AUACAGAGGGUGCGAGCGUUAAUCGGAAUUACUGGGCGUAAAGCGCGCGCAGGCGGCUUAUUAAGUCAGAUGUGAAAUCUCCGGGCUCAACCUGGGAACUGCAUCUGAUACUGGUAAGCUAGAGUUUUGGAGAGGGAAGUAGAAUUUCAGGUGUAGCGGUGAAAUGCAUAGAGAUCUGAAGGAAUACCAGUGGCGAAGGCGACUUCCUGGCCAAAAACUGACGCUGAGGUGCGAAAGCGUGGGUAGCAAACGGGAUUAGAAACCCUAGUAGUCC
rnacentral:rRNA from 1 species